GUCAGUUUCUUUUACCAUCAGAGGACACAGCAGCAAGGUGCCAUCCUAGAAGCAGAGAGCAGACCCUUACCAGACAACCAACCAGCUGGUGCCAUGAUCUUGGACUUCUCGGCCUCCAGAACUGCACUUAAACACGCAGCAUGAGGAAAAUGGAACAACAAUCUUGAGCAACACCACACCCUCCUGAUCACCAUAGCUUUAUGGUAAGACACCCCUACUCUGUCCAGACCCAACUGUCAACAGAAGCCAAAGCCAUCUGGAGGAGCAUGCAACAACAAGAAACAAAUUUAUUAGCUAACCUAACCACUAAUGACGCAAGAGACAAUUCUAAGGACUUUCAAAACAGCAAAGUAGGAGCAGCUGCUACCUCUAGGGAUGAGGGAUGCAAUUGUCCAAUUAUUGGUGAAAUUGUCAUUUCAUGCUAUUGGCUAUUUGAAAUUCCUCCUCUAAUUUCAGAAUAAAUCACUGAAAUUGACAUCGGCCAGUCUGAAUUUCAAGAAAUUACCUGCUGAAGACAAGAGGGAUCUCUUCUUCAGAUUUGCAGUCUGGGGAAGACACAGCCUCUACUGUACUUUAGAACCUGAGAUAUGGUGGUGGAGGGAGCCCUGGGUCGAGUGGUAAGAUUCACCCUUAGGUUAGUAUUGACGUAAGGUGACGAGGAGCUGUAGACAAAAGAUUGUAACCAUAAGAACUUCAUAGUUUUUGUAUUUUCACCGAGCUUAUAUUUGGUGUGUUUUUUGUCUUUUCUUUAUGAUUAUCAAUAAAAUGCUUGAAAGGA
rnacentral:lncRNA from 1 species